GACAGCCUCUAUCUUCAGAGAAAGGGGAGGAGAUGCAAAGUCUUCAGUCUUCGCCACAUGCACAGCCACAUUUCGCACUCAAUAUUUAUGAGGUGCAGAUACCCGAGAAGGCUUUGUCAGUCAUCUGUACGAAGCUUUGAAUCGAAAACAAAUCUGUACCUUCAAGGAUGAAAACCUUGACAGAGGAGAAGAGAUCUCACCAGCCCUCUUGAAAACAAUUGAAAACUCACUGGUUUCCAUAGUCAUUUUCUCAGAAGACUAUGCCUUUUCUCCGUGGUGUUUGGAUGAGCUUGCGAAGAUUCAUGAAUGCCAGGAAACUAAAAGACAAAUAGUAUUACCAGUGUUUUACCAAGUAGAUCCUACCGAUGUUCAAGAGUUGACAGGAAGAUUUGGGGAUGCACUUGCUCAACAUAAGGAAAAAUUCAAAGAAAAGGUGGAGAGUUGGAGCCGUGCUUUGACGGGAACGGCCAAUAUUUCAGGAUGGAAUUCCAAAAAUAUUAAGCCUGAAUCUAAACUAAUUGAGGAAAUUGUCAAUGAUGUUGCCAAGAAAUUAAAUCACUUGUUUCCAAGUGAUUAUGAUGAAGAUGGCUUUGUUGGAAUUGGUCGUGUUAAGGAAGUUGAAUCAUUGUUAUGUCUUGAAUCAGAAGAAGAUGUGCGUAUGGUAGGAAUUUGGGGAAUGGGAGGUAUUGGUAAGACAACUAUUGCUGACAAAGUAUUUAAUAGAAUUGUGAACAAAUUUGAGAGUCAAUACUUUGCUGCAAAUGUUCGAGAAAAGUUAGAAAAGGGCACUCCAGUUCAUUUGCGAGAUGAAAUCCUUUGCAAAAAUACUAGGGGGAGAAGAUUUUCACGUUGGCACACCAUGUACAUUGCAUCCUUUUAUUAAAAAUAGUUUUCAGAAUAGAAGAGUUCUUAUUGUUCUC
rnacentral:misc_RNA from 1 species